AUUGAACGCUGGCGGCAGGCCCAACACAUGCAAGUCGAGCGGAUGAGAAGAGCUUGCUCUUCGAUUUAGCGGCGGACGGGUGAGUAAUGCCUAGGAAUCUGCCUGGUAGUGGGGGACAACGUUUCGAAAGGAACGCUAAUACCGCAUACGUCCUACGGGAGAAAGCAGGGGACCUUCGGGCCUUGCGCUAUCAGAUGAGCCUAGGUCGGAUUAGCUAGUUGGUGAGGUAAUGGCUCACCAAGGCGACGAUCCGUAACUGGUCUGAGAGGAUGAUCAGUCACACUGGAACUGAGACACGGUCCAGACUCCUACGGGAGGCAGCAGUGGGGAAUAUUGGACAAUGGGCGAAAGCCUGAUCCAGCCAUGCCGCGUGUGUGAAGAAGGUCUUCGGAUUGUAAAGCACUUUAAGUUGGGAGGAAGGGCAGUAAGUUAAUACCUUGCUGUUUUGACGUUACCGACAGAAUAAGCACCGGCUAACUCUGUGCCAGCAGCCGCCGUAACAC
rnacentral:rRNA from 1 species